rnacentral:lncRNA from 1 species
GGGCAGCAAUCAAUACUUGUCUGACAGAGCUUUUUGAAGAAUACAAGAACAUGUAUGCUCCAAGUGAACAAACUACUCAAGUAGUUGAUGCUGAAAAAUCUAAGAAAGCAACAGGAGGAAUGCUUAAAGAAAAAAUUGCCAAGAAGAUGAAAUUAAACAAUAGUUCUAUCAGCACCCAAAAAACUGAACUUGAGAAAUAUCUUGCUGAAGAAACAGAAGACCCAGAAACGAAAUUGGAUAUUCUUGCUUGGUGGAAAGUCAAUUCAAAUAGGUUUCCAGUUUUGGGUCACAUGGCUCGUGAUGUGCUUGCUAUACCCAUCACAACAGUAGCGUCUGAGUCUGCUUUUAGCACAGGUGGACGUAUUUUGGAUGACUUCUGUACCUCUCUUACUCCAUUCAUGUUAGAGGCUGUAGUAUGCACGCAGGAUUGGCUUCGAAGGCCUACUGUUGACAUCAAAGAGAGUACAGAGGAAUUGGCAAUAUUAGAAAAAGGUAUUAUAUUUCCUUUCUUUCUUGCAUUUAUGAAUUUACUGUAUGUAAUAUUACAUAUAUAACUAUGUUGUACAUUUACAUUUACAGAGUGGAUAGAAGAAUAUGGUGGCAAAGAAAAAAAGAACGAGCAGCAGCAGCCACCAAACAAUAAUGUUCAGACAUCAACUAUGGCUCAGCCGAAAACUUAAAGGUAUGUCAAGUAUGAAGUAGGUAUGGAGAUUUCACUUUUCAGUAUGCUUUUCAAAUAUGGUGCUCUGCCCAGAUUUGAUCCUUCAUUUUUUAUCACACAGCCUGGACUAUAUGAGGCCUGGAUUGCUGCUACUGAAGUUUGGAGUACUGGUCUGAACCAUCAGUUUGGAGGACAUGACGCCUGGAAGUCUGGAACUAUUGAAUUUGUGCUUUUUUUUUAUCUUGACGAUUACCAAGUACCUGUGUCUUUUUCUUUCUGAAUGUGUCGUGGUUUGCACUUGCACAAGACGCCAAGACUUAAGUAUCUAGUAUGUCGAGUACUUAUGUCUUUGUGUUGGCACCUGCGGUUCAACAUAUCAGUUAUCAACUUACCAAUUAUUCAGUUCAUUCAGUUCUAGUUGUAUGAGAAAUUCUGUGCUGUUUGAGUAUUUCUACUUAAAUAUUUCGGGUAAAUUGGGUAUACCCGAACCCGAACCCGAAUUUGCGGGUAGCAAUUUUUUGGGGCUGUAAUCGGGUAACGUUUUUCAUUACCCGAACUUUUCAAAACCCGAACUACCCGCCCCGAAAUAAUCGGGUAACCUGAACGCCCAGAGUUAAUAUACAACAUCAAGAUCUAUUUUGAAACAUCCAGAUGAAACAUUUGAAAUGUUUCAAACACACGAAACAAUUGAAACAUAGGCUUACAACAUAUGUAUAUUGCUAUUACAAUAUAUUCAACAUCCUAGAUCGACUUUUGCAACAUCUAGAUAAAACAUUUGAAACAAAAAUCUCAAAUGUUUCAAAGACAACAUACGCUCGUGCGGCCACGACCUACCUACGUGAAGAACUGCGGAACCGGCGGCGACCUCCUCCUGGUGGCGCCGGGGUGGUGGUGGCGCGGUACACUCCAUGGUCGUGAAGGCGUGAAGUGGAUGGGGGCAUGGCGAGGGACGCCCACACGGCGCGACCUCAGGAUGGGGUAUGGUAGGGGAUGGUUGCGGUAGGUGAGGCGGAGUGGGGCGAGCAGAGGCAUGGUUGAUGGGCGUGGACGCGUCUCCUACGAGCGGAGGUCGCGGUG